UACAGAGGGUGCGAGCGUUGUCCGGAAUCACUGGGCGUAAAGGGCGCGUAGGUGGUGGCUUAAGCGUGCGGUGAAAGCUCGGGGCUCAACUCCGAGUCGGCCGUGCGAACUGGGCUCACUGGAGCAUAGUAGAGGCAGGUGGAAUUCCGGGUGUAGCGGUGGAAUGCGUAGAGAUCCGGAAGAACACCGGUGGCGAAGGCGGCCUGCUGGGCUAUGGCUGACACUGAGGCGCGACAGCGUGGGGAUCAAACAGG
rnacentral:rRNA from 1 species